rnacentral:rRNA from 1 species
GGAUUAGAUACCCUGGUAGUCCACGCCGUAAACGAUGAGAACUAGAUGUCGGGAGGAAUUGCCUCUCGGUGUCGCAGCUAACGCGUUAAGUUCUCCGCCUGGGGAGUACGCCGGCAACGGUAAAACUCAAAGGAAUUGACGGGGACCCGCACAAGCGGUGGAGCAUGUGGUUUAAUUCGAUGCAACGCGAAGAACCUUACCUGCCCUUGACAUCCUCGGAACUUGUCAGAGAUGACUUGGUGCCUUCGGGAACCGAGUGACAGGUGCUGCAUGGCUGUCGUCAGCUCGUGCUG